UACGUAGGGUGCAAGCGUUACUCGGAAUUACUGGGCGUAAAGCGUGCGCAGGCGGUUAAAUAAGUCAGAUGUGAAAUCCCCGGGCUCAACCUGGGAAUGGCAUUUGAGACUGUUUAGCUAGAGUGUAUCAGAGGGGGGUCGAAUUCCACGUGUAGCAGUGAAAUGCGUAGAGAUGUGGAGGAACACCGAUGGCGAAGGCAGCCCCCUGGGAAGACACUGACGCUCAGGCACGAAAGCGUGGGGAGCAAACAGG
rnacentral:rRNA from 1 species